rnacentral:rRNA from 1 species
AGAGUUUGAUCAUGGCUCAGAUUGAACGCUGGCGGCAUGCUUAAUACAUGCAGGUCGAACGGUAACAGGUCCUUCGGGAUGCUGACGAGUGACGGACGGGUGAGUAAUGCAUAGGAAUCUGCCCAGUAGUAGGGGACAACCUGAGGAAACUCAGGCUAAUACCGUAUAAGUCCUACGGGAGAAAGGGGGCCUCUUCUUGAAAGCUCUCGCUAUUGGAUGAGCCUAUGUCGGAUUAGCUUGUUGGUGGGGUAACGGCCUACCAAGGCGACGAUCCGUAGCUGGUCUGAGAGGACGAUCAGCCACACUGGGACUGAGACACGGCCCAGACUCCUACGGGAGGCAGCAGUAGGGAAUAUUGGACAAUGGGCGAAAGCCUGAUCCAGCAAUGCCGCGUGUGUGAAGAAGGCCUGCGGGUUGUAAAGCACUUUCAGUUGGGAAGAAAAUCUUUAGGUUAAUAUCCUAAAGUCUUGACGUUACCAACAGAAGAAGCACCGGCUAACUCUGUGCCAGCAGCCGCAGUAAUACAGAGGGUGCGAGCGUUAAUCGGAAUUACUGGGCGUAAAGCGUGCGUAGGCGGUUAAGUCAGUCGGAUGUGAAAGCCCAAGGCUUAACCUUGGAACGGCAUUCGAUACUGCUUAGCUAGAGUACAGUAGAGGGAAGC